rnacentral:sRNA from 2 species
UAAAUAAAUACGCUUAAUCCCAUUGUAAAGGAGCGGGGGAACCAACUUUGCAACUUGUUGUAGUACACAGUAAGUUGCUUGGGGUGAAUCCUAUAUUUUAGGUAGGGCUACUCUUCGGCCCGAAUCCGACAGCUAACCUCGUAAGCGUUUGAAGGGGCUUAC